GUGUCCGCGGCUGGCCGCCGAGGGGCGCCCGCGGCUCAGUCUGGGGUUUCUGGGCUGGGGUGCUGCGGAGCGCCUGGAGGGUGGCCGUGGAUGCUGAGACCGAGGGCGUUUCUUUCCGAGGGUUGAUUUUGAAGUUUGCUGCGGAGACUUCUCCCCAUUAGGCCAAGCCUGUUUCUUUCUUUUUCGGAGCGGGUACCGGCGAGUUGCAACCAUUCUAGCCUUGUGCUCGCCGAGUGAAACAGAUCUUUUAAAUAUGCAGAUUAGCGCCACGGCGACGCUAAUCAACAAUCCCUGCUUUGAAUUGCCCUUUAUGCUUUUCCAGCAGCUUUGGCCUAGAGCUAUGCCCCACAGCACCAUAAAGAAGAUUAAGAAGGCAUUAUCCCAAUUUUAGUGAACAAAGUCUAAGUUCAGUGGGGUGCGAGAGUGACAGUGGAUGAAAGCCUCCUUUGCGCUCCCUUAACAUUUAGGAUCUUAGCUGCCCUCGUAGGUCCUGCCACAGGACACACGGGCUUGUGCACCUGGCCCGCUGUCUCUGGCUAGAUUAUAGGUUCCUUGAGGGCAGGGAUUGUGUCUUCCCUUCAGGUGCUCGGUCAAAACAGACUGAAGUGCGGUGCGACCAGAACCAGGGUCCAGACUUUGCGUCUCCCGGUUUACGCGCCUCACGUUGUCGGCAGCCUUCCCUGUUCUGCACCUUGGGGCAUUACUAAUUUAGCCGCUGAAGUCAUGUUAUUUGCAGAAGAGAAAGUUGGAGUCCGCUUAAUUACAACCUUCAUUGCAGCAUGUGGGACGCCGCCUCAGCAUGGUUUGAUGAGCAGUGCCAUGUCAGCGCCCAGGAUUCGAACCAAGGAAACACUGGGCUGCCUGCAGCGGAGCACGAGAAGUUAACCACUUGGCCACGGGGCCAGCCCCAGGAGACCUGUGAUUUUUAUGACUCAAUAUCCAAGGUUACCAUGGAGUACAUAGCUGUAUACUUUAGCCGUGGACCCUUCCAGUUGGGACACGUGGGACGCCGCCCCAGUAUGGCCCGAUGAGAGGUGCCAUGUCCGUGCCCAGGAUCUGAACCGGUGAAACCCUGGGCCGCUGAAGCGGAGCAUGUGAACUCAACCACCCGGCCACAGGGCCAGCCUCCUGAGCUGUUGCUGUUUUAAAUAGCAGAUUCCAUGAAUGUGUUCUUGCCUGCUUGUGGACUUGGAUUAUCAACAUGACAGAAGGUGAGGGGAGGGUAAGCUUAAAGUUAUGUGGUAUUGAGUAAUAACCAAAUGAAUGUUUAUCAGAAGAAGAGAUAAGGGACUCCGAAAUGAGACCUCAAUAGAUAUUUACAAUGCAGAUUUCAUAAACCAUUACUGAGUGCUUCCCAUGUCCCAGGCCCUGGCCUUUCUCAUUGCAUACAAUCUUCAGGUCAGCCCUUGAGUUCAGCUCCAUUUUAGAGGAGGAAGUUGAAGUUUAGAGAAGUUGAGAGAUUGCCCAAGAUCACAAAGCUUGUAAAUUGCAAAGACAGAAUUCAAAUAAUCCCAAGUCUAUUUCUUCAUUAUAGUAAACGAAUUAGAAGCCAGUGAUUCAACUUACACACACACCACAUUUAUUUCAUGGAGAACCUUUCAGGAAUGUAGACCAAUGGUCAGAAAUUGUGAAACUUUAAAUUGGGCCAGUUCAUUUUGCAGUUGUAGAUUGACGCGAGAUAAAAAAAAAAAAAACUCCUCCCACAGCCAUCCACAUCUCCCUCUGCCUGGGUUGCUGUUUGUUGGUGAGAGCACUACUCCAAAGAUAGAAGAGACCCUUUCUUUCACAAUUAGAGCCCUUUUUAUACCAGGUUAGCUCCAGAGGAGCCAGGCAACUCUUAAAAUCUUUGACUUCAGUUCAUUUAUAACACAAGAGUGGAAGUUGCUGGAAAAAUUUUUUGUUUUUGAUUUUUCUUCUUCCUUUGUGUCUUAAACAGAGACUAGAGGUCAUCCUUCAGGACAGUUGAUCCCAGUAUGAUUUUGGUGAGCUUGGGGGGAAAAGGAAAGGAGACUAUGUCCUUAAUUCAUAAGAGGGUUACUUAAAACUUUCCCCUCAUUUUCAGUAGGGAAAACCAGGAUCGGUGCCUUCAGAGAACAAAAGGAUAUUUGCUUGGGGUUCUUCAAGGGAGUUCAGUAAAGGGAUCAAAGAGGAGUCAUGAAAAAAUAAUUGAGUUGAAAGGCAGUUGGAAGUGACCUAAAGAUCAUUUUGUGAUUAUAUGUUUUUACAGCUUUAUUGAAGUAUAAUUGACAUACAAUAAAAUGCCUAUAAAGUA